AUACGUAGGGGGCGAGCGUUAUCCGGAAUUAUUGGGCGUAAAGAGUACGUAGGUGGUUUUGUAAGCGUGUGGUGAAAGACCGGGGCUUAACUCCGGUUAGCCAUGCGAACUGCAAGACUUGAGUGCAGGAGAGGAAAGUGGAAUUCCUAGUGUAGCGGUGAAAUGCGUAGAUAUUAGGAGGAACAUCAGUGGCGAAGGCGACUUUCUGGACUGUAACUGACACUGAGGUACGAAAGCGUGGGUAGCAAACAGGAUUAGAUACCCUGGUAGUCCACGCCGUAAACGAUGAGCACUAGGUGUCGGGGUCGCAAGGCUUCGGUGCCGCAGUUAACGCAUUAAGUGCUCCGCCUGGGGAGUACGCACGCAAGUGUGAA
rnacentral:rRNA from 1 species